GAGGCAGCAGUGAAAGAAGGAAAUGGUCAAUCCGCAUACACACCAAUUAAAGAUUUGCGACUUUGGAAGUCCUAAAGUCUUGGUGAAAGGAGAGCCAAAUAUAUCUUAUAUAUGCUCCAGAUACUAUCGUGCACCAGAACUGAUAUUUGGAGCAACUGAGUACACAACAGCAAUUGACAUUUGGUCUGCUGGCUGUGUUCUUGCUGAGCUGCUGCUUGGACAACCUUUAUUCCCUGGUGAGAGUGGAGUUGAUCAGCUUGUGGAGAUAUUAAGAUUCAUAUGUGAAUUGAAGCACAAGUUUAGCUUGAAGACUACAAAUUUAGCUCAAUUGUGAGUGUCCACGAUGCAAGAAGUCGCGCUACAAGCGCAUGAGUUGCAAUGCUAGUACGAAGGGAUUGCGGAGUUGAUUGCGGACUAUACGUGAUGAGAUUCAUGUUGGACAUAAUGAGUCAUUGUACAGACUUACAUCAGCUUGAUGAGUUUUGCAAGGUACAAAAGGAGGUCCAUUGACGAGCAAAGAGCUGAAUGAAGUUCGAGACAUGUUAGCGUCUUUCAUCACAUAUAAUUUAAUUUGAACUUGUUAACUUAUACAUUAGUUAUUAGUAUAGUUUGUAAAUAUAACACCUUUUAAUUAAUGAGUUGUAGAAGCUAUAUGACAUUUCAUUG